CCUACGGGUGGCAGCAGUGGGGAAUAUUGCACAAUGGGGGAAACCCUGAUGCAGCAACGCCGCGUGAGGGAUGAAGUCUUUCGGUAUGUAAAGCUCUAUCAGCAGGGAAGAAGAUGACGGUACCUGAUGAAGAAGCCCCGGCUAACUCCGUGCCAGCAGCCGCGGUAAUACGUGGGGGGCAAGCGUUAUCCGGAUUUACUGGGUGUAAAGGGAGCGUAGACGGCGGGGCAAGUCUGGAGUGAAAGCCCGGGGCCCAACCCCGGAACUGCACUGGAAACUGUGCGGCUAGAGUACUGUAGGGGUAGGCGGAAUUCCUGGUGUAGCGGUGAAAUGCGUAGAUAUUAGGAGGAACACCGGUGGCGAAGGCGGCUUGCUGGACAGUAACUGACGCUGAGGCUCGAAAGCGUGGGGAGCAAACAGGAUUAGAUACCCUAGUAGUC
rnacentral:rRNA from 1 species